UGCAGUCGACGGUAACAGAACUAGCUUGCUAGUUGCUGACGAGUGGCGGACGGGUGAGUAAUACUUAGGGAUCUGCCUCUGUGUGGGGGAUAACUAUUGGAAACGAUAGCUAAUACCGCAUAACGUCUACGGACCAAAGAGGGCUUCGGCUCUCGCGCAGAGAGGAACCUAAGCGAGAUUAGCUUGUUGGUGAGGUAAAGGCUCACCAAGGCGACGAUCUCUAGCUGUUCUGAGAGGAAGAUCAGCCACACUGGAACUGAGACACGGUCCAGACUCCUACGGGAGGCAGCAGUGGGGAAUAUUGCACAAUGGGGGCAACCCUGAUGCAGCCAUGCCGCGUGUGUGAAGAAGGCCUUCGGGUUGUAAAGCACUUUCAGUUGUGAGGAAAGGUUAGUAGUUAAUACCUGCUAGCUGUGACGUUAACAACAGAAGAAGCACCGGCUAACUCCGUGCCAGCAGCCGCGGUAAUACGGAGGGUGCGAGCGUUAAUCGGAAUUACUGGGCGUAAAGCGCACGCAGGCGGUCUGUUAAGCUAGAUGUGAAAGCCCCGCGCUCAACGUGGGAGGGUCAUUUAGAACUGGCAGA
rnacentral:rRNA from 1 species